rnacentral:lncRNA from 1 species
AUGGUUCCAGGCGAGGCGGCGGCCGCCUGUCCUGCGUUUACCAUCAUCCUGGACCACACCAGGCAGGACACACGUGAUCUCUAUGGACGGGUCCUCUACCUACUGGGGCCGUGGGACAAGGAGGCCUGGCCCCCCUCUCCCUCCACCCUGCAGGAAAACGUCUUUAAGACUCGCCUGCAAGUGUGUCACCUCCAGGGAGCUCCCCAGGACUGCCACUCGAGCCCUCGCGGCCCUGUCUCCUGGACGUGUGCGGGGACGCAUUUUGAGUUCAGAGUGCAUGAGCACCUGCUUGCCUGCUUGUCCCAGCUCCUGACCCGUGAGGCUCUCACCGUCAGCUACAGACGGAGGCAGACGGGCUGGAGUCGCAGCUGCUGUCCCCGCGGGCAGCUGGCGUGGACCAGCCCCAGGGACGGAGCAGGCGUGCCCGGGCAUCCCCCUGUGGGGGGCGUGGCAGCGGACCAGGGCCUGCUCCCUGGGAGCUCCUGCCAAGCUGCAGGUGGCAGAGAGAAUAAGAGGGGGACAGGCUUGGGUCAGGGACGCACAGGUGCUGGCAGGGCUACCAGGGGACACCUGGCAGGGAGGCUCAAGAGGGAGCUGGCCACCGGAAUCGGUGGGCUCCAGCAGAGGGUGGGGGGAUAUCCUGAGCUCCACGGUCCACGUCGCCUGCACGGCCCACCCCACGCGUGUGGCCACUGUGUCCCCUGGCUCCAGGCAGUGGCCAUCCGGGCUGCACACUUGGCUGGUCUGGCCGUCCCUGCCUGGCCCCAGCUGUCACCCGUGUCCCGAGUGAGCACCUUGCUAGAUUUCUGCGGGGGAGGGGGCCCUUCCCGGUUGCCCUGGAAACCAGAGGUGGGCGGCCAAGGCCUUGGGCAACCAGCCAAGCUUCUCCCAGCCCUGGAAGGGAGCCCGGGGCCGGCUGACUCUGGGCUGCUGGGCAGAAGCGUGCAGGCCCCCUCCCCACCCCCAGGGUGGGGGAGCACUAGGCAUCAUGGUCCUUGCCCCUCCCCCACCUGCCGUGGCUGCAGGGUGUGUGUGUGGCCAGUGAGUGUGGCCGUGCAGACGGCUGAGAGUCCAGGAUGUGUCUGCACCAAGGAGCCCCACCUGGGGGUCCCGCCCCUGACCCCGGCUGUCCUUGGGGCUGUGCUUGAACCUGGCGGGCCGGGACCUGUGCCAGGUGCUCCCGGGGUGAAGAAGGGCACAGCUGUGGCCAGAAAGGUCCGACCAUUCGGAGGCUCCCGGCUGCUCCCGGCUGCUGCAGCCGUGUCCCUGCCCUGCGCCGGGCCCGGGCUGCUGUGCGCAGGCGUCCCGGAGGCCACCCUGGGGAGGUGGUCUCGGGUCUGGCUCACCUGA